rnacentral:rRNA from 1 species
CGAAGAACCUUACCUGGUCUUGACAUCCCGGAGACCCUUAGGAAACUAGGGGGUGCUUCCAUCUGGAAGAAUCUGGAGACAGGUGCUGCAUGGCUGUCGUCAGCUCGUGUCGUGAGAUGUUGGGUUAAGUCCCGCAACGAGCGCAACCCUUGCCUUUAGUUGCCAGCAGUUCGGCUGGGCACUCUAAAGGGACUGCCGGUGUUAAACCGGAGGAAGGUGGGGAUGACGUCAAGUCCUCAUGGCCUUUAUGACCAGGGCUACACACGUACUACAAUGGCCGAUACAAAGGGCAGCGACACUGCGAGGUGAAGCCAAUCCCGUAAAAUCGGUCUCAGUCCGGAUUGGAGUCUGCAACUCGACUCCAUGAAGUUGGAAUCGCUAGUAAUCGUGGAUCAGCAUGCCACGGUGAAUACGUUCCCGGGCCUU